CGGAGGAGAAUGUUAAUGUGCCUUCUUUGGUUCCUCUAGAGGGCUUGGGAAUGGUCUGUGGCUGCUAAUGCACUGUACCCCCCCCAGACACCCACACCCACACCCACACACACACACACACACACACAUACACAAACGCAGGGAGCAGCUUAACGGCCAGGGCCAGCUGUGGUCUCUCUGAUGGUGGCCCUAUUGAGCUUUACAUCAAGUAUUAGCAUGGUAUAUGUUCCCUUCUUCAGUGCACAAAUCAACACGAGUAGACACUCCCUUACCCUGUGCCCUUCAGAAAGAGCAAUCUUUCAUUUUUAUAGCUAUAUGUUGUCUUUUUCAUUAUUUAAAGGAAGACUUGUUCCCAAAGUUAUCACCUGGAUAUUGGAACUCUGAUCUGAUCUGCAUCCCUGCUGGAACAUUUAAAAUGCCAAACGGGUCUCAGGAACGAUGAGCAUUGAUGGUUUGCACGGCAAAUGAUAAUGCAAAAAGGAUUCAACGGGAUUAUCACAUGGGAUUUUUCCAUAGGAUUAUCUUCCUUGGAUAAUCGGUAGGAUGAAGGGGGGGGGGCGGUUACGGUACAGAGAGAGAAGUUGAAAACAAAAGAUUAAGAUCUAUGAAAAGCUAAUCCAAAUCACUUUGUAAUAAUUGUAACAAAUGUGCAAUCAUUUGUUUUGGUGACACUGGUGCGCUCAAAAUUCAAACACACAAUUGUUCAUUUCAUUAGAAAAAAAGGAAAGUUGCGAGUUUCCAUUUCUUAAACAUGGUGUUAAUAUUGAACCACAAGAACCAUUAUAAAAUGUAGCACAAUAAACUGAUGGAUCUUCAUGGACUUCCAUCACAUCCAACAAACGUUAAGCGACAAUUCAAGAAACAUCCCUAAAGAAAUGUGUAAAGGUGGUUAAAAAACACUGAACAAAUGCCCAGAACAUGAGUACAGUACCAAUAAUAAAACUGAUAGGACACUCUGAAUUAAAUACAAAGACCAUAUUUAUUUGAUGUGCGAGAACCUCUGAAAACGUGUGAAAGCACCUCAAAUGUUUCUAUUUGAGGUGUUUGGCUGACACGUCUCGAACGGUCUGUGUAUAAAUAACCUGGGAAGGUAUCCAGAUAGACGGAGAGAACAAAGAACAGGAUUGCAAACAGUAGGUAAGGGUACAGCACGUUAAAAAUGAGUCUGAUGACGAGGUUUUUAGUUAUUUUUAUUCAAACACUUUUAUGCGAUUUUGCAUUGAGUAUUACAAUGAAAAGGGGCAUCGAUACAGAUCCAUUGUACCCAUUAUUCGCAUUAGUUUGCAAAGAAUAUUUGUGCACAAAAACAUGAGCAGAGUCGAACAGAGAAGUACACAAUAAAUAUUUGUAUGAAUAAUAUAACGAAAUAAAGUUAAAGCAGACAAUCCAUUCCGAGGGGACAGAGCAAGCAGCAGAAGAAUAUAUCCCUCACAGGCCAACAUAUUUUUACUAUUUAUUUUGUCGCUACAUGCUUUUCUUCUGCUCUGCAUCAGGCGCUGAAGAGGACCGUCUCAAACCAUCGGCACAGCAACAAAACCGCCCAAUCGGCUGUCUGCUUCAUCUCACCGCACCAAAUUGUCACCCAAAAAACACAGACCCCGGUUGUACACACCUCUACUGUGUGUGUGUGUGUGUGUGUGUAAGGUUUCAAGCAGAUGUAGAGAUCAAGACAGGGAGAGAGGGAGAGCAUUUCAUGCCGCAAAUAUAUGUACAUUCAUUAUUUCUACAAAGGUGAAAAUAUUGGAUUUGAACAGAAGUCCGACCCCCGCAUUUAAAUGCACUUAGGAGCCAUUUGCCUUUUCAAUGCCUGAAUAAUCGCCUGUGUCGCCGUAUAAUCAUCUUUUGCAUUUUAUUUCCCUGUAAUGCUCCCAACCUUGCAGUGCAUAGUGCACUGUGCCAGUGCACUGCAUACAUAAAAUAUCGUUUCUUUGGUGUAUCGCAAAUGAAACCGCAUGCGCAUUGCAUCCCACAUGUUGCAGGAUCCCACCGUCACCAGCACAUGCAUGAUUUAUUCAUUUGUUUUGGGGAUUAAUGUUUGCAUGGAACAGUGGCGGCAUGUGUGAAGGGUGUUUUACGACGGGUACAAACCUCUGUCUGCGCUGCCAAGAAAGUACACUACUGCCGCAUUUCACCCUCUCUUUCCUCACACACACACGCACACACACAGACGCACGCUGACACACACACACACACACACACACACACACAGACAUACACACUCGCACCAAAUAGUACAAGCACAUACUCCCUCUCACUGUCCUUCACACACACCACAUUACCACAAUAUCUCCUCUCAUGUUGCCCCCACCACCACUGAAAAGUAAAACAAAAUGUCAGUUAAAAUACAUCAUCAUCACGGUCAAACUUCCCCACACACACACACACACACACACACACACACACACACACACACACACACACACACACACACACACACACACACACACACACACACACACACACACACACACACACACACACACACACACACACACACACACACACACACACACACACAGCCGUCCGGAACACGAAUCAGACAUUGUAUAUCCGGCCCUGGUACCAGCGAUUGGGUUUAAUAUCCAGGUUAGUGGGUGACAGCAUCUGGCUAUGCGGCAGCGCCACCGACGCAGCCUCGCAGCGAACGUCAGGCCGGCUCUCGUAUGGUAGGGUGAAAUAUGGCGCGUUGGCGCAGGAAUGUGGUGCGAUAUCGCUACUGCUAGGGGCAGGGCCGGGCCUGGCGCUCGAGACAAAGAGUGGUGGGAGAGAGAGAGAGAGAACGGGAGAGAGGUUUGCUUAGGCGUGAGACUGCAGGGUGAUCUGAGUUGAGAGUGUCGGAGAAAGAGAGAGAGAUGGAGAGAGAAGGAGAGAGACAGAGUUGGAGAGGAGAGAGAAAGUGAGAGGGAGGCAGAGAAAAGAGAGA
ensembl:lncRNA